rnacentral:rRNA from 1 species
UAUGCUCUUGUUCGGACUUUAGAAACAUGGCAACAUUAUUUAUGGCCCAAAGAAUUUGUUAUACAUUCUGAUCAUGAAUCUUUGAAACAUAUUAAAAGUCAAGCUAAACUGAAUCGUAGACAUGCUAAAUGGGUUGAAUUCAUUGAGACUUUCCCUUAUGUCAUUAAACACAAGAAGGGAAAAGAAAAUGUUAUUGCUGAUGCAUUGUCUCGUCGCUAUACUAUGCUUUCACAACUGGACUUCAAAAUAUUUGGUUUGGAGACCAUCAAAGAUCAAUAUUUGCAUGAUGCUGAUUUUAAAGAUGUAAUGCAGAAUUGUAAAGAAGGAAGAAUAUGGAACAAGUUUGUUGUUAACGAUGGAUUUGUGUUUCGUGCUAACAAGCUAUGCAUUCCAGCUAGCUCCGUUCGUCUUUUGUUGUUGCAGGAGGCGCAUGGAGGAGGAUUAAUGGGACACUUUGGCGUGAAGAAGACGGAGGACGUACUUGCUACACAUUUCUUUUGGCCAAAGAUGAGACGGGAUGUUGAGCGUUUUAUUGCUCGCUGCACUACAUGUCAAAAAGCUAAGUCACGACUCAAU